rnacentral:lncRNA from 1 species
GGCCUCAAUGUCGGCCGGGAGAAGGAGCGCCUGGCACAGCUUUCUGGCCAAGUCAUGGUUGGCCAGGCCCGACGUACCUUCGGGAAGUGGGAAGUCGGUCGACCCCCCACCACCGACCGACCUUCCUUCGUCGCCGGACACCAUCGGGGCCUUCCCUCGGCCGGACAUCCAGGCCCUGAUGUCGGAGAAGGACGGCAAGCUUGAGCCUGACCGAGUAUCCCCCGAAGGCGAGGCAACAGCAGGCGCGGGUUGCUCGGGCUCGCGCGCCUCCUCCCGAUCCUCCUCUGUCGGCUGAGCAGCCGGCGCACCGUCGACCGAUUCCUCGGCCG